rnacentral:lncRNA from 1 species
AUGCAAACUCAAUUUCAUCCGGUCAACUUACGCAUGACCGAGUGACCAACUUGUCCAACUAUCUACAACUGCAUCUCAAUUUUCAUCAGGGUAAUUGCGACGAUUUUCCAAAAUGCAUUAUAAAACCUAAUUUCACAUUCAAUAAUGGUCAGUUGUGUACUCAUAACUUUGAUUGACGCAUCCUCUCGUAUAAGCUCAUCCGUUUGAUCGCGUCGUGAAUCGCUCAAAAUUGCCAAUAUGUAUAAUGUUGUAUUUUACAUUUUUUACCCGGUAGUUUUUCAAUUGUGUGGUGGUUACAUGAUAAUUACUAAACAUAUGCUAGAUGCAGGUAUAGUUAAGCCCGAAAAUUCCAGUUACGAACUUUUCAAAGGAGUUAGACACUCUUUCAUGAAACGUGACGUGCAACAACAUAAGGACAUAACGGAAUUUAGCGCAAAAAAUUUGAAUAGAAACACAUCUUCAAGUGAUAUCACUCUAAACGCGAAUGAAAGUUACACUCGACAAGAAAAUGUGUUUGGGACUAGUCAAGGAGCUACGAACAACAACUUAUCUAAAGCUGAGAGUGAAAUAAAUAAAACACCAAAAGUAAAAGACGUUUUCAACACAGCGACGAGGAGGUGUCAAAAACUUGGCCCUGGACAAAACAAUUCAAAGUGUUUGCUGAUUCGAAGUAAAAUUCGAACGUUUGAACCGCUCGAUACAUCUUCGAGAGAGGCCUUAGAGAGAAGGAGCACUGACAACUUUUUCAAAAAAUCUGGAAAAGACGCAAGUCAGUUUGCUAUUUUUAACGGGGAGAAAAUUGUACUCAAGCCCGCUCCAAAAAAUCACCAAGACCGUUUCAAUUACUUUUUAGAGCCGCACUACAACAAAGGAAAAACCCAGUUGGAUUCUUCGCCAAACCAGUUUGAUGCUGAGAAGCAGCGGUUUAGAGCUGAGCAAAUUCCAGAUGUUUUUAGCCAAGAGUUCUUUCCAAACCAUCAAACUGAGAACGAUCUCAGGACUAAGAUGACAUCAUCGGCUGACGAGGAAGACGGAAGGCAUUUUUCGGAGCAGGCGAGCUCUGAUGAAAGCGGCGUCAAUGAGCAGCAACUAAACGACACAAUUUGGAAUAACGUACGUGAUAACAUUUUCUCAUCCUUACGGCAACUAUCAUCGAAUAGAACAGAGAGCGCGCCCAACGAGGUUUUUUCGUCGCACGAGCUGUGUAAUUUUCAAGAUUAUAUUUUCUCAUCAAGUCCGAAUUGCACUUUUGGCCAACUGAUAUACAAUCUAGUGGAGGAGUCGUCAUUUGUUCUUCAGAAUCAAAAUUUCUCCGAGCGGAAUCUUCUAGACACGAUGCCAGACACUAAUUUCAUCUCAGGACGGCGGAAGGCAUCUUUGAAGUACAUCACUUUCCUGCUAGGCGUCUUGGUCGUCAAACUUCUGAUUGUAUUACCGCUGGUUAUUUUAACGGCCGGUAAAUCCAUAGCAUUGAGUCUCCUGUCAUUGGGCGUUGCUACUGCUAAUGUAUUUCAAAAUAAAAAUAAUCUACCCUACAUGAAGCGUCGAGACGAGGUUUCACCGUUUGCAUACGACAAAUUUUCUCUCGGACCCCAUAGCUUUAGAUGAUUUGUGUGAUCCAUCCGAUGAAACGUGAAAUAAUUGGCAGGCGCUUUAAUAAAGUUUCAACCACAAAAAGAGUCUUGAUGUAUUUAUUUAGCAAGGGCCCACCUAUGAGAUAUACUUUAGACACUGGGAAAAAUGAGCAUUGAUAUCGACGGUGAAACUGCAGGAAUGCGUGCCUCGUUUUGCGGCGUUGCUAACUUCUCGUCAUAUUUUAUUUUUACAUAAAAUUUACUAAACAUCAUGUUUUGAAAACUGCAGUGAUUUGUCUGCUUUAUGUAAAGAGUAUUCCG